rnacentral:rRNA from 1 species
AAAGUCAAAACGGGUAAACAGGUAAAGCAAGGCUGUGCUGCUUUCGGCUGACGAAGUGGGGGAUGGGUGGAGUAAUGUCGGGGAAGCUGCCUGAUGGAGGGGGAUAACUACUGGCAAACGGUAACUAAUACCGCAUAAGGUCGCAUGACCAAAGAGGGGGACCUUCGGGCCUCUUGCCAUCGGAUGUGCCCAGAUGGGAUUAGCUAGUAGGUGGGGUAACGGCUCACCUAGGCGACGAUCCCUAGCUGGUCUGAGAGGAUGACCAGCCACACUGGAACUGAGACACGGUCCAGACUCCUACGGGAGGCAGCAGUGGGGAAUAUUGCACAAUGGGCGCAAGCCUGAUGCAGCCAUGCCGCGUGUAUGAAGAAGGCCUUCGGGUUGUAAAGUACUUUCAGCGGGGAGGAAGGCGAUAAGGUUAAUAACCUUGUCGAUUGACGUUACCCGCAGAAGAAGCACCGGCUAACUCCGUGCCAGCAGCCGCGGUAAUACGGAGGGUGCAAGCGUUAAUCGGAAUUACUGGGCGUAAAGCGCACGCAGGCGGUCUGUCAAGUCGGAUGUGAAAUCCCCGGGCUCAACCUGGGAACUGCAUUCGAAACUGGCAGGCUAGAGUCUUGUAGAGGGGGGUAGAAUUCCAGGUGUAGCGGUGAAAUGCGUAGAGAUCUGGAGGAAUACCGGUGGCGAAGGCGGCCCCCUGGACAAAGACUGACGCUCAGGUGCGAAAGCGUGGGGAGCAAACAGGAUUAGAUACCCUGGUAGUCCACGCCGUAAACGAUGUCGACUUGGAGGUUGUGCCCUUGAGGCGUGGCUUCCGGAGCUAACGCGUUAAGUCGACCGCCUGGGGAGUACGGCCGCAAGGUUAAAACUCAAAUGAAUUGACGGGGGCCCGCACAAGCGGUGGAGCAUGUGGUUUAAUUCGAUGCAACGCGAAGAACCUUACCUACUCUUGACAUCCAGAGAACUUUGCAGAGAUGGUUUGGUGCCUUCGGGAACUCUGAGACAGGUGCUGCAUGGCUGUCGUCAGCUCGUGUUGUGAAAUGUUGGGUUAAGUCCCGCAACGAGCGCAACCCUUAUCCUUUGUUGCCAGCGGUUAGGCCGGGAACUCAAAGGAGACUGCCAGUGAUAAACUGGAGGAAGGUGGGGAUGACGUCAAGUCAUCAUGGCCCUUACGAGUAGGGCUACACACGUGCUACAAUGGCGCAUACAAAGAGAAGCGACCUCGCGAGAGCAAGCGGACCUCAUAAAGUGCGUCGUAGUCCGGAUUGGAGUCUGCAACUCGACUCCAUGAAGUCGGAAUCGCUAGUAAUCGUGGAUCAGAAUGCCACGGUGAAUACGUUCCCGGGCCUUGUACACACCGCCCGUCACACCAUGGGAGUGGGUUGCAAAAGAAGUAGGUAGCUUAACCUUCGGGAGGGCGCUUACCCACUUGCUCAGG